rnacentral:rRNA from 1 species
GAUGAACGCUGGCGGCGUGCCUAAUACAUGCAAGUCGAGCGAACAGACGAGGAGCUUGCUCCUCUGACGUUAGCGGCGGACGGGUGAGUAACACGUGGAUAACCUACCUAUAAGACUGGGAUAACUUCGGGAAACCGGAGCUAAUACCGGAUAAUAUAUUGAACCGCAUGGUUCAAUAGUGAAAGACGGUUUUGCUGUCACUUAUAGAUGGAUCCGCGCCGCAUUAGCUAGUUGGUAAGGUAACGGCUUACCAAGGCAACGAUGCGUAGCCGACCUGAGAGGGUGAUCGGCCACACUGGAACUGAGACACGGUCCAGACUCCUACGGAGGGCAGCAGUAGGGAAUCUUCCGCAAUGGGCGAAAGCCUGACGGAGCAACGCCGCGUGAGUGAUGAAGGUCUUCGGAUCGUAAAACUCUGUUAUUAGGGAAGAACAAAUGUGUAAGUAACUAUGCACGUCUUGACGGUACCUAAUCAGAAAGCCACGGCUAACUACGUG